UGUAAAUCACAGGCAGGAGGCCAAGAGGCAGUUCCCUACCAGCAGCCAAGGAAGAAAGAGCUCUUGGUCAUGAAAGAAAGAUGAAGCCGGAGGCAGGAGCAACGUCUGACACUGCUGAGGGAAGAAGAAACCCUGCAGACUAUUGAAUUCACUAACAGUUUCUGGAAGCUGUUUGGCAAGAAGAUAUGGAAAUUACUAACUCAUAGCUGGGAAAAAAAAAGUUUGGUAAGGAUGUAUCAGCAACAGACAGAAAUCCAGCCUUGUUGAAGUUGACAGGAGUUUUGUCAGGAUUUCAUCUCAAGAAGCAUACAAACAUAAGAGGUUACCACCACUUUAAAUUUUUUUUUUUUUAAAUAA